rnacentral:rRNA from 1 species
GACGAACGCUGGCGGCGUGCUUAACACAUGCAAGUCGAACGGAAAGGCCCUGCUUUUGUGGGGUGCUCGAGUGGCUAACGGGUGAGUAACACGUGAGUAACCUGCCCUUGACUUUGGUAUAACUUCAGGAAACUGGGGCUAAUACCGGAUAGGAGCUCCUGCUGCAUGGUGGGGGUUGGAAAGUUUCGGCGGUUGGGGAUGUACUCGCGGCUUAUCAGCUUGUUGGUGGGGUAGUGGCUUACCAAGGCUUUGACGGGUAGCCGGCCUGAGAGGGUGACCGGCCACAUUAGGACUGAGAUACGGCCCAGACUCCUACGGGAGGCAGCAGUGGGGAAUAUUGAACAAUGGGCGGAAGCCUGAUGCAGCAACGCCGCGUGCGGGAUGACGGCCUUCGGGUUGUAAACCGCUUUCGCCUGUGACGAAGCGUGAGUGACGGUAAUGGGUAAAGAAGCACAGGCUAACUACGUG